GAUGAACGCUGGCGGCGUGCCUAAUACAUGCAAGUCGAGCGAACAGACGAGGAGCUUGCUCCUCUGACGUUAGCGGCGGACGGGUGAGUAACACGUGGAUAACCUACCUAUAAGACUGGGAUAACUUCGGGAAACCGGAGCUAAUACCGGAUAACAUGUUGAACCGCAUGGUUCAACAGUGAAAGACGGUCUUGCUGUCACUUAUAGAUGGAUCCGCGCCGCAUUAGCUAGUUGGUAAGGUAACGGCUUACCAAGGCAACGAUGCGUAGCCGACCUGAGAGGGUGAUCGGCCACACUGGAACUGAGACACGGUCCAGACUCCUACGGGAGGCAGCAGUAGGGAAUAUUCCGCAAUGGGCGAAAGCCUGACGGAGCCACGCCGCGUGAGUGAAGAAGGUCUUCGGAUCGUAAAACUCUGUUAUUAGGGAAGAACAAAUGUGUAAGUAACUAUGCACGUCUUGACGGUACCUAAUCAGAAAGCCACGGCUAACUACGUG
rnacentral:rRNA from 1 species